GCUAACGCUAACAGCAAUGUCCUAAAACCCCAGAGAGCUAGGGCUUUUUUCCUUAACGGGUUCUCCGGUUCCCGCACCUACUUCUCGUCCUCUCCUCCCUCGUCUCUCCAUCUUUUCGCCUCUCCUAUUCGCCGUGUUGCCGCCCAACGCCCCACCCUUUCUCCCUCGUGUUCGACCCCCGCGGGGCCCGAAAGGAGGCGCGAUCCCUUGGAAUAAGAGGAGUCAUAUAAACAAGACCAAAUAGUUUUCAUGGCCGUUGGCGCUGCAUCUGAUUCAGAAUCACCAGCUAUCAGAGCCCUGGGACCUCUCUUCAAGCUCACCGAAGUCCAUAUCUGGGAUGACAAUAAGUUUAACAAUUUUGAGGCAUCGAGCCACCAUGAUGCGUUGGUAGAAGAACCUGCUGGUUCUUGUACCACUAUUAAUACCCACUCAAGCAUCAUAAAAAUGACAGAUGAUUAUUGUUCAGUGGAAGAUUUAGAAUUAGCUCUUCAGAUGGAAGCUCUGGGGCUUCCUGUUUCCUUUAGCACAACUAAGGAGAUGAGGAAUAUGAGUUCAAGUGGGAAAGGAAAGGGAAUGCGGGCAAAAUCUAGGUCUACUGAUAAGCAAAUAGAGAACAGAGUUCCUGAUGUUACCAAAGUUGGUGAAUGGGAGUAUGUGUCAUCAAAAGUUAUCCAUGAUAGUUCAAGCAUGCCUGUUUUUUGCAAUACCACAGAAGGCCAAUGUGAAGCCUCUAAUAAUGAUGUUGAAGAUGAGCAUAACAGAAAGAAUGUCUGCUCUGGAGGAGAAGAUAUAAGUGUAGCUUCUGCAGUCCAUUAUGGAAUUGAUAAAAAUCGAGUUUGUGGUGAAAUGACUAACAAUGUGGACGGAGAAACUAAACUCAUUGACAGUGAUUCAGAGAAGACUGCUGAAAUUCUGGAGCACCCAAAAUGUUUAUAUGCUGAAAAUUUUCCUGCAAAUGUUUUAGAAGAUGCUAACUCUGGACAUUAUCAGGAGGGAGAUUUGUCUAACAAACAGGAUGAGGAAAAAUACUCUGAAAUUUCAUCUGGAUCAUGUAAUAUUUUUAGUGCAGAUGGUGAUGCUGUUGACAUCAAAACUUUUCAACCCUGUGUGAGCUCAGCAGAGACAUCUCUAUCCUGUGCUUUGAGUGAUCAAAGUGAUCAUGGUGUUCAAGACUAUUCUGAUACUAGAUUAUGUUAUGAAUAUGGUGAUUGGAGGGUAAAUUGGGAUUCCUUCUAUAUGAGGAAUUACUUCUACAAUGUCCAAACACAGGAGUCCACAUGGUAUCCUCCUGAUGGAUUGGAGAAAUUUGCAUUUCCUUGCCCUACAUUUAAUCUAAAUGAAAGGUUCACUGAUGCAGCUGAAGAGUUUGCCAGUGUUAGGAUUGUUUGUGAUGCCCCUCAAGAUCUGGUUUCCAAUGGAAUACAAGGCACGACCAAUUCCCUACAAGGAAAUGAUGCUGAAUUUAUUGAUCAGUCAUCACUAGAAAUCUCUAUGAACAGUUAUCAUGCUACUGGCUUUACUUGGUCUGAAGCUGAUCGACAUGGUGCAAAUUGUGGAUAUGAAAAUCUAGAUACACAUGCCUAUAGCAAGAGGGAUCCUGACAGUGUAGGUCUGCUCCAUUUAUCAGACGUGAAAGAUCAUACAACAGAUAAAUGGGAUGCCAGCAAACACUGGGACAAACAAGACAAGAAUGCCACUUGCCAUGAAUGGUUAAAUGUGCCCAGGUCAUUUGGUGCUCCAAUAAACAAUAGUUUAAGCGCUACACAUAAUAAUAAAGUUGAUAUGGAUGAAAAUGGAGAAAGUCAGACUUCAGAGCUGGACGGUCAUCAUGAGAUUACCACUACUGGGAAGAAAAAGAGAGUAAAAAGACUCCGAUCACGUAAGAGAACAUUAUCUAAGUUCGCAUUGCAAGCAGUAAAGGGAGGCCUCUUUAAAUAUUGGCUGCAGAGGUACUUACUUUUUUCCCGAUUUGAUGAUGGUAUCAAGAUGGAUGAAGAAGGAUGGUUUUCUGUCACACCAGAGUCCAUUGCAAGACAUCAUGCAUCUCGUUGUGGUAAUGGCAUUGUCAUCGAUUGUUUCACUGGGGUUGGUGGAAAUGCUAUCCAGUUUGCCAUGAAGUAUGAGCAGCCAUGUUAUUGCUAUUGACAUCAAUCCACAAAAAAUUGAAUAUGCACAACAUAAUGCAUCUAUUUAUGGAGUUAAUGAUCGGAUAGACUUUGUUGUUGGCGAUUUUUUCCAGAUGGCCUGCCAAUUGAAGGGAGACACUCUGUUUUUGUCACCUCCUUGGGGAGGACCGGACUAUGCUAAAUUUGUAACCUAUGAUAUCAGAUCCAUGCUUAAGCCUCAUGAUGGCUACCAUCUCUUCAAAAUUGCCAAGACGGUUGCUUCCAAAGUAGUAAUGUUCCUACCUCGGAAUGUUGACCUAAAUCAAUUGGCAGAGUUGACUUUAUCAUUAAAUCCUCCAUGGGAACUUGAGGUUGAGAAGAACUUUUUAAAUGGAAAGUUCAAGGCAAUUACUGCUUAUUUCAAGUGCACAGCAACUUGAGCGGACACAUUUGGCAAUCACUGCAGUUACCAUUAGUUCUGUUUAUCCAUGGAGGAGCAUGCAUGAGAGGCAACAUUGAAAUGGUUCAUACGGUACAGCAAUCUGUGUGAUGUAAAUAAAUUCUUGUAUAUAUAUGUUAAAAAAAUACGUAAUGUUAUCAAAAUAACUUACGUACUUAAGCUAUGCGAUUUUUUUUAAUAUUUUUUAUGCAUCUAUCAAGAAUGGUGAAAUGACGUUUUCAGAGAGGAAGAAAUUCUUAUUUAUAAAGUAAUAGCUUUACGUGUUUGCUUUCUA